rnacentral:rRNA from 1 species
UACGUAGGGGGCAAGCGUUGUCCGGAAUUAUUGGGCGUAAAGCGCGCGCAGGCGGUUUGUUUAAGUCUGGUGUAUAAACCAAGGGCCCAACCUUUGGACGCAUUGGAAACUGGGCAACUGGAGUGUAGGAGAGGAAAAGUGGAAUUCCACGUGUAGCGGUGAAAUGCGUAGAGAUGUGGAGGAACACCAGUGGCGAAGGCGACUUUCUGGCCUAUAACUGACGCUGAGGCGCGAAAGCGUGGGGAGCAAACAGG